UGCUUUUUUCGCCCAGGCGGAGAAGGGCCGCAAACCGAAGUAAUGGUCAAAUUCAUCGAUGAUGAAAAGAAAAAGUAUGGGGUCGAGUCGAUUUGCAGAAUCCUGCCAAUCGCCCCA
rfam:Enhydrobacter aerosaccus strain CGMCC9176 contig_15, whole genome shotgun sequence.